UGAGCAAUCUGCCCUUCUCAUCGGAAUAAGCGUUGGAAACGACGUCUAAUGCCGAAUACGACCUCCUUUCGCAUGAUCGGAGGUGGAAAGCUCCGGCGGAGAAGGAUGAGCUCGCGGCCUAUCGGCUAGUUGGUGUGGGUAAUGGCCCACCAAGGCGACGACGGGUAGCCGGCCUGAGAGGGUGACCGGCCACACUGGGACUGAGACACCGGCCCAGACCUCCGUACGGGAGG
rnacentral:rRNA from 1 species